UGUAAAAUCAGGUUUCUCCUCUGCAAGAUGAAGGCCAAGGGGAGGCUCCUGCUCGGCCUCGUUGCCAUAGCAUCUUCGUUUCAGAUUCAAGACGACUGCCUUGUGAAAGAGCGCAUCGUUUACAGUGAUGUGAUGUUUGACACCCUGGAAUUCCUUAGCCUCGUUGAAGAAAAUUCUCCUGCUGUAGAAGUUUUACUGAUCUGCCAGAAUGUCAACCCAAUUUACCUGCUCAGUAUCGGCCUAGAAAAAAUUUUAUUGGAGAAAUCGGAUCAGGAUAAAUCAGUACAAGAGGAGUCUUCGGAUCAGUUAGCAAAGACUGCUGGGUGGAGAAGGUUCAAGCUUGGUUUGGCAAAUAAAACGAUGACUCUGGAAUGCGACGGCAAGUCAUUGUUGGGAAAGGCCUUCGAACUUGGUUGCACUGUUGGCGAGAUCAAAAUCACCAAAGGAAGAUUUACACGGAAGUGUUCUCCUGGCACACCUACUUGGGUGGUUGAGAACGACUCGCAAUUAGAGCUUCCCUUAGUCCAGAUGGAGAAAGGCGUUCGAGAAAGCUUUACAUUAUUUUCCCUGGAGCCUUUCACUCCCUCCUUCAGCAUGAAAGGGGCAAAGGUCAAUCUAGGACUUCGCGGCGACUCAUUGGUGACAAGCGGCAACAUGAAACCACUUCCGGCCGGGCCACACGAUGUCUUGUUCGAAAUCUUCUCUGAGGGAAGCAGAACAAACCUCAAGGUGACGAAGGAUGGGCGUGUUGUACAUGAAACGGCCCUCGAAGAUUCUCCGAAGUGCAUGGAAGUGUCGGGCGACAAGAAGUUCGUGCUGGUGCAGAAACUUGGUCAGAAUGUCCCACGUAAUGGACACUGCGACGGAGGAGGUAUGAGUCGAUUAAAAACGACAAGACGGUAGAUAUAUUAGAAAGACCGUGGAGGUUCAUAACUUUGGGGAGAUGAUUGCCUUGUAAGGAAUAUUUUGUCUGAGUGACAAUAUUUAUUGUUGUAUUUCAUUCGAGGUCAUUUUUUUUGGUAUCCAUGAUAUGCCAUGAUUAUUAUAAUAUCUUAUAAUGAUCAUAAUUUUGAAAGUGAGGAAAAUAAUAUCAACUAUGUUAUGGUCACAUUACAUUUUUUACUAAAAGAAAAGGGAGGGAUGAAGUAAGAUCAUUUCUAUUCACAGAACAAAUCUUGUAUCUCGUAGCUUUAGGAAUAUCGACCUUCUUGUUUUGCGCUCUCCUCUCCCACCACUGCCGCUACCGACAGAGCUUUAAGACUGGCCAACAGGGGGCCCAAGGGACAGCCCAGGGAACGACAUCUGCCACGGACGCAAGUCGCAGCGCCUCCACCGCCAACGGCGCUCACCCGGUCAUGCCUCGCCUCCCUCCGCCACCAUACGCCCCCCCUUGCCCUCCUGCUUCCCCUGCUAUCCUACCCACCCAGGCAAUGGCUCUUCCGGAGGCUUCGUAUUAUGAGAUGUAUCCUACAACGGCAACGGCCGUGGCUCCACCUCCGAACUCCUACGCACUUCUUGAGGACGGGCCCAAGGAAACAGUCAAUGACAUGUACGAGAGUGCCGAUGGACUGUGAGAUGACCUAAUUAUGAGUGUUGACUUCUUCCCCAUCCCUUCUGAAGUAAGGAACACAGUGUCACAGCCCGCCAUUCCCAGACCGCAGCCAAAGCUAAGCAACGUCCCCAGCCCCCUAAACGCAGUGAUCUCAAGCACCCUCCACAACGCUUGAAAAGAACACCACCAACAGGGAAUUGAUUGAUGUGCCCACAGCACUUGACUGAAACACCGCCCACGAAAGGCUGACAAACUUCGGCCGCAAGAGAACGGUUAUCAGGGCGUUUUGUGAGUCUUCGUAUUUGUGAAUAAACAGGUAAAAGUCAGGGGCGAAGCUUUCUUUUUGUUAAAA